AGCGAACGCUGGCGGCAGGCCUAACACAUGCAAGUCGAACGGAUCCUUCGGGAUUAGUGGCGGACGGGUGAGUAACACGUGGGAACGUGCCUUUAGGUUCGGAACAACUCAGGGAAACUUGAGCUAAUACCGGAUGUGCCCUUAGGGGGAAAGAUUUAUCGCCUUUAGAGCGGCCCGCGUCUGAUUAGCUAGUUGGUGAGGUAAAGGCUCACCAAGGCGACGAUCAGUAGCUGGUCUGAGAGGAUGACCAGCCACAUUGGGACUGAGACACGGCCCAAACUCCUACGGGAGGCAGCAGUGGCGAAUCUUGCGCAAUGGGCGAAAGCUUGACGCAGCCAUGCCGCGUGUAUGAUGAAGGUCUUAGGAUUGUAAAAUACUUUCACCGGUGAAGAUAAUGACUGUAGCCGGAGAAGAAGCCCCGGCUAACUUCGUGCCAGCCGCCGCCGUAA
rnacentral:rRNA from 1 species